rnacentral:rRNA from 1 species
GACGAACGCUGGCGGCGUGCUUAACACAUGCAAGUCGAACGGAAAGGCCCUUCGGGGUACUCGAGUGGCGAACGGGUGAGUAACACGUGGGUGAUCUGCCCUGCACUUUGGGAUAAGCCUGGGAAACUGGGUCUAAUACCGAAUAGGACCACGCGCUUCAUGGUGUGUGGUGGAAAGCUUUUGCGGUGUGGGAUGGACCCGCGGCCUAUCAGCUUGUUGGUGGGGUAAUGGCCUACCAAGGCGACGACGGGUAGCCGGCCUGAGAGGGUGACCGGCCACACUGGGACUGAGAUACGGCCCAGACUCCUACGGGGGGCAGCAGUGGGGAAUAUGGCACAAUGGGCGCAAGCCUGAGGCAGCGACGCCGCGUGGGGAUGACGGCCUUCGGGUUGUAAACCUCUUUCAAUAGGGACGAAGCGCAAGUGACGGUACCUAUAGAAGAAGCACCGGCCAACUACGUG